rnacentral:rRNA from 1 species
UUCCGGUUGAUCCUGCCGGACAUGACUGCUAUCGGAUUGAUACUAAGCCAUGCGAGUCUUUGUAGUAAUACAAGGCAGACGGCUCAGUAACGCGUAGUCAACCUACCCUAUGGACGGGAAUAAUCUCGGGAAACUGAGCAUAAUACCCGGCGUACCACCAUGCCUGGAAUGGUUGGUGGUUAAAAUGAUUCGUCGCCGUAGGAUGGGACUGCGACCUAUCAGCUUGUUGGUGGGGUAAAGGCCCACCAAGGCUAUUACAGGUACGGGCUCUGAGAGGAGAAGCCUGGAGAUGGGUACUGAGACACGGACCCAGGCCCUAUGGGGCGCAGCAGGCGAGAAAACUUUGCAAUGUGCGAAAGCACGACAAGGUUAAUCCGAGUGAUUUCUGCUAAAGGAAUCUUUUGCCAGUUCUAAAAAUACUAGUGAAUAAGGGGUGGGCAAGUUCUGGUGUCAGCCGCCGCGGUAAAACCAGCACCUCAAGUGGUCAGGAGGAUUAUUGGGCCUAAAGCAUCCGUAGCCGGCUCUGUAAGUUUUCGGUUAAAUCUAUAUGCUCAACGUAUAGGCCGCCGAAAAUACUGCAGUGCUAGGAAGUGGGAGAGGUAGACGGUACUUGGUAGGAAGGGGUAAAAUCCUUUGAUCUAUCGAUGACCACCUGUGGCGAAGGCGGUCUACCAGAACACGUUCGACGGUGAGGGAUGAAAGCUGGGGGAGCAAACCGGAUUAGAUACCCGGGUAGUCCCAGCUGUAAACGAUGCAGACUCGAUGAUGCAUUGGCAUAUAGCCAGUGCAGUGUCGCAGGGAAGCCGUUAAGUCUGCCGCCUGGGAAGUACGUACGCAAGUAUGAAACUUAAAGGAAUUGGCGGGGGAGCACCACAAGGGGUGAAGCCUGCGGUUCAAUUGGAUUCAACGCCGGA